rnacentral:rRNA from 1 species
GCCGUGGGCGCUGGAGAACUGAGGGGGGCUGCUCCUAGUACGAGAGGACCGGAGUGGACGCAUCACUGGUGUUCGGGUUGUCAUGCCAAUGGCACUGCCCGGUAGCUAAAUGCGGAAGAGAUAAGUGCUGAAAGCAUCUAAGCACGAAACUUGCCCCGAGAUGAGUUCUCCCUGACUCCUUGAGAGUCCUGAAGGAACGUUGAAGACGACGACGUUGAUAGGCCGGGUGUGUAAGCGCAGCGAUGCGUUGAGCUAACCGGUACUAAUGAACCGUGAGGCUUAACCUU